AAACGGGACAUAGGUUUAUUUAGGUCAAAUACUAUCGAAUACAUUUUUUCAAGAGAAAUAUUGUCCAGACUAGUAAGAUCUGACGGUCCAGUCGAGUUAUUUGGUUUCAACUGGAAGGUAGAUGACGUCGAUGAGGAUGGCAUCGGUUGCAGGUCGCAUAAAGAUGACGGUGACGGCAACGGUUUUAAGUCAUUUGGCAGGUAACAGCUCGGAAUUAGUUUCAUUUGCAGCCUACAAAAUGGCUUCGGGAAGUUGGAUAAAUCCAUUAAUAUUAUUGUAUCGGAUUCGGUUAAUGUGGUUUUGACGUUUUAACGUUUUGAAC